rnacentral:rRNA from 1 species
UGCGUAGGCGGUUCUUUAAGUUCGGUGUGAAAUCUCCCGGCUCAACUGGGAGGGUGCGCCGGAAACUGGAGGGCUCGAGUGUGGGAGAGGAAAGCGGAAUUCCUGGUGUAGCGGUGAAAUGCGUAGAUAUCAGGAGGAACACCUGCGGUGUAGACGGCUUUCUGGACCACUACUGACGCUGAGGCACGAAAGCGUGGGGAGCAAACAGGAUUAGAUACCCUGGUAGUCCACGCCCUAAACGAUGCAUACUUGGUGUGAGUCAUUCAGUUGAUUCGUGCCGGAGCUAACGCGUUAAGUAUGCCGCCUGGGGAGUACGGUCGCAAGGCUGAA